rnacentral:rRNA from 1 species
GUGGGGAAUAUUGGACAAUGGGCGAAAGCCUGAUCCAGCCAUGCCGCGUGUGUGAAGAAGGUCUUCGGAUUGUAAAGCACUUUAAGUUGGGAGGAAGGGCAGUAAGUUAAUACCUUGCUGUUUUGACGUUACCGACAGAAUAAGCACCGGCUAACUUCGUGCCAGCAGCAGCGGUAAUACGAAGGGUGCAAGCGUUAAUCGGAAUUACUGGGCGUAAAGCGCGCGUAGGUGGUUUUGUAAGUUGGAGGUGAAAUCCCCGGGCUCAACCUGGGAACUUCCUCCAAAACUGCAUGACUAGAGUACGGUAGAGGGUAGUUGAAUUUCCUGUGUAGCGGUGAAAUGCGUAGAUAUAGGAAGGAACACCAGUGGCGAAGGCGACUACCUGGACUGAUACUGACACUGAGGUGCGAAAGCGUGGGGAGCAAACAGGAUUAGAAACCCUAGUAGUCC